rnacentral:rRNA from 1 species
GUCCUUUAGAUUUAAUUAUUUAAGGUCUAACCUGCCCACUGAAUUAUUUUAAAUGGCCGCAGUAAAUUGACUGUGCAAAGGUAGCAUAAUCAUUAGUUUUUUAAUUAAAAGCUUGUAUGAAUGGUUUGACGAAAUAAAAUCUGUCUCUAAAUAAUAAUAAGAAUUUAAUUUUUAAGUUAAAAAGCUUAAAUUUAAUUAAAAGACGAGAAGACCCUAUAGAUCUUUAUAUUAAAUUUAUUAAUUAUAUUUAUGAUUAUUUACUUAUUUAUUAAUUUUAAUAUUAUAUUGGGGUAAUAGGAAGAUUAAAAUAAUUCUUUUUAGUAUUAUACAUUGAUUAUUGUUUAUUUGAUCCUUUAUUAAAGAUAAUAAGAUUAAGUUACCUUAGGGAUAACAGCGUAAUUUUUUUAGAGAGUUCAUAUCGAUAAAAAAGUUUGCGACCUCGAUGUUGGAUUAAAAAUUAUUCCAGGUGAAGAAGUUUGGAAAUUUUGGUCUGUUCGACCAUUAAAUUUUU